CUUGGCUCAUUUCCACCCCUAGUCACAACUUGUCACAAGGAGUGCCACCUACCAUGCAAAAGGGUUACAGAAAAAAGACAGAGUAUUGGCCUACCAUGCAAAAGGGUUACAGAAAAAAGACAGAGUAUUGGCCCCAAUAUGUAUUGACCUGUGCCACCGCUACAUAUGCUAUCCCACCCUUUCGUAAAGCUCUCUUAGGAAUAACACAAACAUUGCUCGUAUAUAUGAUGAACUGUUAC
rnacentral:lncRNA from 1 species